rnacentral:lncRNA from 1 species
UUUAUAUUCCCAAAUUUGGUAGAUAUUUGUGUUAUUUCUUUGUAAUUCAUAAUUGGUCGUAAUUUAUGUGAAAAUUAGAUACGGUAAGUGUAAGUGGUUGUUGGGCUUUAAUUGCCGAAAAUGUAGCGAACUUUUUUUUAGAAAGAUGAAAUUUACAGGUCGUACUGAUAUUGGGCCUGUAAGCCCAAUUCAUAAUAAAAGGUAAGCGAAAUGUUGGUGGUGAUCUUGCCGCAUUUAUUAGCUCAUAAGUUGUUUCUGAAUUUUAUUGUUGUGCAUGUGUUUGACUGUGUUAUUUUGUUGGCAUAAUACAUAUAUUAAGUUCGGGUUUAGCUGAAUUUACUUUUAUAAUCAAUUAUAAAUUUGUAAUGUAUUACUGAUACUCAAUUUUGUAUUGAUAAAAACUGGUUUCUUUCCUUGUAAAACUAAAUUUAAGCAUAUAAGGGCUGUUUAGAUUGGAAUUUGUUUUUGGUAAAAAAAUGAAUGGAAUUUGCCUAAUCUUUAAUGUACAACAUUUGAUUGGUACAAAUAUAAAAAUAGACACUGGGCUCGAGCAUGAUUCACCAUUUUCUCCUAUUGUGAUGUUUAAUUGUCUUCAUCUCAUUAUUCUUCUCAACUGACCUAAAGCCGUCAAACAAAAAUAGCACGCAGUACAUUACAGCUUCUAUGUUCUUCUUUCUUACAACUACUGUAUUCCAAGGUUCUCUUUUGAAUGCAUUUACUCUAUUUUGUAUGUAUAUUUUGAUGAGGGACAAUUUGAAAUGGUGGUCAUCCCCAAUUCCUAUCUAUAGUGACUAAACCAUCAUAUAUAAUUGAUUGGUGCAAUUAUAAUUCAAAUGUAUAUUGUCAACUAAAGAUGAUUCUCAGGUAUCUCUCUUGAUCAUAAAAUCAUAACUCUUGUACUUUUCUAAAUGUAAAGAAAUUUGAAAAAUAUAGAAAAGUACUAUCUAAAUGACAACAUGAAGCAUCGAGGAAAAACAAACAAACAAAUGUCAAUGAAAGUUGAGCUUAAGAUUUUAUUAAGAUUGUAAGCAACAGAGGUUUCUCUGAGCUAAUAGAUACUAUGAAUUCGUACAGAACAUGAUCAUGA